GAUGAACGCUGGCGGCGUGCCUAAUACAUGCAAGUCGAGCGAACAGAUGAGGAGCUUGCUCCUCUGACGUUAGCGGCGGACGGGUGAGUAACACGUGGAUAACCUACCUAUAAGACUGGGAUAACUUCGGGAAACCGGAGCUAAUACCGGAUAAUAUAUUGAACCGCAUGGUUCAAUAGUGAAAGACGGUUUUGCUGUCACUUAUAGAUGGAUCCGCGCCGCAUUAGCUAGUUGGUAAGGUAACGGCUUACCAAGGCAACGUUGCGUAGCCGACCUGAGAGGGUGAUCGGCCACACUGGAACUGAGACACGGUCCAGACUCCUACGGGAGGCAGCAGUAGGGAAUCUUCCGCAAUGGGCGAAAGCCUGACGGAGCAACGCCGCGUGAGUGAUGAAGGUCUUCGGAUCGUAAAACUCUGUUAUUAGGGAAGAACAAAUGUGUAAGUAACUAUGCACGUCUUGACGGUACCUAACCAGAAAGCCACGGCUAACUACGUG
rnacentral:rRNA from 1 species